rfam:Homo sapiens chromosome X, GRCh38 reference primary assembly.
AAACAGAUAGGCUUGGUCCUGGCCUUUUUAUUAGCUCUUAGUAAGAUUACGCAUGUAAGCAUCCUUGCCCCAGUGAAAAUGCCCUCUAGAUCACCCGGAUCAAAAGGAGCAGGUAUCAAGCACGCACGAGUGCAGCUCAAAACACCUUGCUCAACCACACCCCCACAGGAAACAGCAGUAAUAAAUCUUUAGUAAUAAACGAAAGUUUAACUAAACUAUACUAAUAUUUAGGGUUGGUCAAUUUCAUGCCAGCCACCGCGGCCAUAGGAUUAACCCGAGCUAAUAGAGCUCGGUAUAAAGAGUGUUUAAGGUCUGCCCUCAAUAAAGCUAAACUCCAACGAAGUUGUAAAAAACUUCAGCUGAAAUAAAAUAUACUAUGAAAGUGGCUUUAAUACCCUGAAGACACAAUAGCUAAGACCCAAACUGGGAUUAGAUACCCCACUAUGCUUAGCCCUAAACCCUGAUAGUUACAUUAACAAAACCAUUCGCCAGAGUAGUACAAGCAACAGCUUAAAACUCAAAGGACUUGGCGUUGCUUUAUAUCCCUCUAGAGGAGCCUGUUCUAUAAUCAAUGAACCCCGACACAUCUCACCACCUCUUCCCCCCAGCCUAUAUACUGCCAUCUUCAGCAAACCCUAAAAAGGUUAUAAAGUAAGCACAAGUACACACAUAAAAACGUUAGGUCAAGGUUUAGCCCAUGAGGUGGCAAGAAAUGGGCUACAUUUUCUAUGUUCAGAAACUCUCACGACAACCUUUAUGAAAUCCAAGGCUCAAGGAGGAUUUAGCUGUAAACCAAGAGCAGAGUGCUUGGUUGAAUAAGGCCAUGAAACACACACACAUCACCCGUCACCCUCAAGUAUUACUCCAGAAAUCACUACUACUAAAAAUUUUCUACACACAUAUAGAGGAGAUAAGUCAUAACAAGGUAAGCGUACUGGAAAGUGUGCUUGGACAAACCAAAGU